CUGAUAUUGAAUGUUGGUACAGCUUGUACAGGAUAGGUAGGAGCCUUGGAAACCGGAGCGCCAGCUUCGGUGGAGGCAUCGGUGGGAUACUACCCUGGCUGUAUUGACCUUCUAACCCGCCGCCCUGAUCGGGCGGGGAGACAGUGUCAGGUGGGCAGUUUGACUGGGGCGGUCGCCUCCUAAAAGGUAACGGAGGCGCCCAAAGGUUCCCUCAGAAUGGUUGGAAAUCAUUCGCAGAGUGUAAAGGCACAAGGGAGCUUGACUGCGAGACCUACAAGUCGAGCAGGGACGAAAGUCGGGCUUAGUGAUCCGGUGG
rnacentral:rRNA from 1 species